CUCUGACGAGGGAUCGAAAAAUUUCAGAAUCUUCCUAAAAGCCUAGUGGUAGAGUGUCUUCUUUGAUUGCAGGAGGAUGUGCUGCGGGGUUGAUCCCCAGAAGCGACAUUGAAAACUAGCCAACUUUGUUAUCUAAAAGGCUGCUAAACCUGAUAUACAAAGAUAAUGUGAAUUAUCUCUCACAUGAUGGUCAUCAGUUAUAUUAUAUAAAAACUCACAGCAGAAGUAAACAAUGGGACAAUAAUUAAUGAACGCAUCUUUCAUUUGACUUUGACACUUUGAGUUUGACAUGGCCUAGAUGGAAAUAUGUGACUUGACUUUGGGUCAAGUUCCCCAGGGGAACUACGUCCCCGUACCCUCAUUUUUUUCCGUACCAAAAUUGUUUUGUACCCAAUUUUUUUUUCGUACCCAAUUUUUAUUUUGUUGCAAAAAUGUUUUCGUACCCAAUUUUUUUUCGUACCCAAUUUGUUUCGUAACCAAGUUUUGUGUGCCAAAUUUUUUUUUCGUACCCACAUACACAAUUGUGAUGAUGUAGAUCAACUUAAAUUGAUGCUUGUAUAUAUCCAUCCUCUUCAAAAACAUCGUCACACCAGUACUGUCAGUACUUUGAUUACAAUAAUAUCAACGCCUUUAAUUUUAACUUUCUGUACUGGUCAAUGUGUGUUUUAACAAAGUAGUUUUUGAUGGCUUGUGAUAUUACUUGCCAGUCAAAAACGUAGCAAUGUUGGAUUGUAUGUUUAAGAAGUGUCAUUGGCAAAAAUAAACAUGUUCUUUUGUUAUUGUGGCCUUUAUCGCAUAUUGCUCAGUGGCAGCCGAUGUGAUUAUAUUUAUUUUAAAGAGGAAUAUACAUCAUUUUAUAUUAAUACAAUUAAUUCACUAUUUAAGAAUCUAUCCCAAAUUACUGCAAAAUCACCUUGCAACUAUUUGGUUUUGGACUUAAAAGGUUCGCAUGUACCAUUAUAUUUCUUUAUAGCCUAAAUUUAUUUUAGCCAAAACAAAUGUGUAUUUGUCUUCUGAAAAUAUGUUGAAUUAAUAAUUAAAAAUAGAAUGUAUGAAUAAAUGCUGCCAGAAAUCAAACUAGCAAAUUGUUAUAAAUCAAUAACUAACUCUUUAUUUGGAGUACACUUUACCUUUGAAUCUUUCAGAUAAUAUUGACUUGAAAUUUUGUGUAAGUGUUCCAAGAAUAUUUCAAAUCAAACAUCUAAAAAAAUAUGUAGCAAGUGGAGUGUAUUUAUUUUGUUUUAUGCAUACUGCAUAAUAAAUGUUAGAAAAUGUCAUAUACAUUUGUUUAAACAUGGCCUCUUGAAGAUGUUUGUAUUUUGGUGUCACGAGAUUUUUAUUAUCUCUCUAGGCUAAUUAUUUUUGUCAACCAGUGCAUUUUUUUUUAUGUCGACUGGGGGACAUAUUGUUUUUGCCCUGUCUGUUGGUUUGUUUGCGUCAAACUUUAACAUUGGCCAUAACUUUUGCAAUAUUGAAGAUAGCAACUUCAUAUUUGGCAUGCAUGUGUAUCUCAUUGAGCUGCACAUUUUGAGUGGUGAAAGGUCAAGGUCAUCCUUCAAGGUCAAAUUUAUGGGGGGGGGGGGACAUAGUGUUUUACAAAUACAUCUUGUUUCUGUUGCAAUUUGAUUUGUCUAUGUAACUCAGUUAUUGUAAUAUGACAGUAAAAUUAUAUUUUUAUUAUCAAAAAAGCUAAUAUCAUAUUCUUUAUUAGAAUUACACUGUGAUCUUUUGGUAUGAUAUGAUUUUUUUCAUUUUUUUCUGGAGCCUGAUUACCUGUAUUGCAUUUAUGCAUGUUGUUGCGAGCCUUAUUGUGUUAUAUUUGCAAAUGUUUAACAUAGGGUAGCUAGUUGAACGUAUACUCAUAACUCAGUAUUAACUGUACAUUGUUAGCAUAAUAUAUUAAUGUAUACUUAUUUAUCUAUAUAAAAGUUGUUCA